rnacentral:tRNA from 1 species
AUGGAGGACGUUGGGUAAAUAUGCCCCCAUCGUCUAGUGGUUUAGGACAUCUCUCUUUCAAGGAGGCAACGGG